rnacentral:sRNA from 1 species
UCAACCAAGGUUCGACUUGAGCGCCAGCGAGAGAGCGUUGCCGCAGGCAACGACCCGAAGGGCGAAGCGCGCAGCGCUGAGUAAUCCUUCUCCCACCACCA